ensembl:processed_transcript
GGAGGAUGGACUUGAAGGUCUCAAAGAAGCUGGAAUACGCUCAUGAAGACGAAACACAGACAUUUGCAGAAAAUGAAGUGGACGAGGAAGCAGUAGAGUGUAAUAACGU